GCUGUUGAUACUGUGCUGCUUGAAAAGCAUCUUCUCAUAGAACCCAUUGGAAGCUGCCAGAAGGUGGCGGUAACCUUGACAGCUCUGUCAUUGCUAUGUGACUUAAAGCAUCCUCCUAUAAACCUUCCUAGAAGUAGUUUGCCCACAGAUAGAAGUAUUGCACACUGCACCCUCUUCACUGCGCAUGGCCCACCUUCAAGCCUCGGUUACCUAAUGGGGAUGGACCCCAUGUUUUAUUGCUCACGACCCUGUCACUAUCCUUAAAGAUGAUUUCACUCACUGCCCUGCCCCCUAACUUAUACACAAUAAAUACUCAUGCUUCUGGACAUUUGGGGCCUUGCCUGACUCCACUUACAGGUGGCAUGGCCCCCUGAGCCCAGCUGUGUUUUCUUUGUA